rnacentral:rRNA from 1 species
GAUGAACGCUGGCGGCGUGCUUAACACAUGCAAGUCGAACGAUGAAAGCGGGAGCUUGCUCCUGCUGGAUUAGUGGCGAACGGGUGAGUAACACGUGAGCAAUCUGCCCCGAACUCUGGGAUAAGCGUUGGAAACGACGUCUAAUACCGGAUACGACGCGCGAAGGCAUCUUCUGCGCGUGGAAAGAACUUCGGUUCGGGAUGAGCUCGCGGCCUAUCAGCUAGUUGGUGAGGUAACGGCCCACCAAGGCGACGACGGGUAGCCGGCCUGAGAGGGUGACCGGCCACACUGGGACUGAGACACGGCCCAGACUCCUAUGGAGGCAGCAGUGGGGAAUAUUGCACAAUGGGCGCAAGCCUGAUGCAGCAACGCCGCGUGAGGGACGACGGCCUUCGGGUUGUAAGCCUCUUUUAGUAGAGAAGAAGCGAAAGUGACGGUACCUGCAGAAAAAGCACCGGCUAACUACGUGCCAGCAGCCGCGGUAAGAC